CUACGGGACGCACCAGUGGGGAAUAUUGCACAAUGGAGGAAACUCUGAUGCAGCAACGCCGCGUGGAGGAUGACACUUUUCGGAGCGCAAACUCCUUUUAUAUAGGAAGAAGAUGACGGUACCAUAUGAAUAAGCGCCGGCUAACUCCGUGCCAGCAGCCGCGGUAAUACGGAGGGCGCAAGCGUUACUCGGAAUCACUGGGCGUAAAGAGCGUGUAGGCGGAUUAAAAAGUCAGAAGUGAAAUCCUAUAGCUUAACUAUAGAACUGCUUCUGAAACUCUUAAUCUAGAAUAUGGGAGAGGUAGAUGGAAUUUCUGGUGUAGGGGUAAAAUCCGUAGAGAUCAGAAGGAAUACCGAUUGCGAAGGCGAUCUACUAGAACAUUAUUGACGCUGAGACGCGAAAGCGUGGGGAGCAAACAGGAUUAGAUACCCCAGUAGUC
rnacentral:rRNA from 1 species